ACAUAUGAAUGGUUGUGACAUCUGUCAACCCAUUGGCCACCAGGAUUGAUUAGGCUGAUGUGGCUGGUUAGGUUAGUGUCCUCUUUCUCUUUCACUGCUCUAUAUGCAUCUGUUGUGAAGCUGUAUGCUUGGUUCUAAGAGGAUGACCAAUGGAUAGAGGAACAUAGUUAUUUGGCCCAGGGUAUACAAGUAACUCUGUUCCUCUGCUAGAAACUCCAAACAAUCUAUCAAGAGAAACAGACCACAUGACUUGAUUAACAGACAAGAGAUU
rnacentral:snRNA from 1 species